rnacentral:rRNA from 1 species
UGAGCAAUCUGCCCUUCUCAUCGGAAUAAGCGUUGGAAACGACGUCUAAUGCCGAAUACGACCUCCUUUCGCAUGAUCGGAGGUGGAAAGCUCCGGCGGAGAAGGAUGAGCUCGCGGCCUAUCAGCUAGUUGGUGUGGGUAAUGGCCCACCAAGGCGACGACGGGUAGCCGGCCUGAGAGGGUGACCGGCCACACUGGGACUGAGACACGGCCCAGACCUCCGUACGGGAGC